rnacentral:rRNA from 1 species
CGUAGGCAACCUGCCUUGUAGACUGGGAUAACUUGCGGAAACGUGAGCUAAUACCGGAUAAGACCUCUUAUCACCUGAUAAGAGGAUAAAAGAUGGCGCAAGCUAUCACUUAUAGAUGGGCCCGCGGCGCAUUAGCUAGUUGGUGAGAUAAAAGCUCACCAAGGCAACGAUGCGUAGCCGACCUGAGAGGGUGAUCGGCCACACUGGGACUGAGACACGGCCCAGACUCCUACGGGAGGCAGCAGUAGGAAAUCUUCCGCAAUGGACGAAAGUCUGACGGAGCAACGCCGCGUGAACGAAGAAGGUUUUCGGAUCGUAAAGUUCUGUUGUUAGGGAAGAACACGUACCAUUCGAAUAGGGUGGUACCUUGACGGUACCUAACGAGAAAGCCCCGGCUAACUACGUGCCAGCAGCCGCGGUAAUACGUAGGGGGCAAGCGUUGUCCGGAAUUAUUGGGCGUAAAGCGCGCGCAGGCGGUUCUUUAAGUCUGAUGUGAAAUCUUGCGGCUCAACCGCAAGCGGUCAUUGGAAACUGGAGAACUUGAGGACAGAAGAGGAGAGUGGAAUUCCACGUGUAGCGGUGAAAUGCGUAGAUAUGUGGAGGAACACCAGUGGCGAAGGCGACUCUCUGGUCUGUAACUGACGCUGAGGCGCGAAAGCGUGGGUAGCAAACAGGAUUAGAUACCCUGGUAGUCCACGCCGUAACGAUGAGUGCUAGGUGUUAGGGGGUUUCCGCCCCUUAGUGCUGGCGUUAACGCAUUAAGCACUCCGCCUGGGG